rnacentral:rRNA from 1 species
GAUGAACGCUGGCGGCGUGCCUAAUACAUGCAAGUCGAGCGAAUGGAUUAAGAGCUUGCUCUUAUGAAGUUAGCGGCGGACGGGUGAGUAACACGUGGGUAACCUGCCCAUAAGACUGGGACAACUCCGGGAAACCGGGGCUAAUACCGGAUAACAUUUUGAACCGCAUGGUUCGAAAUUGAAAGGCGGCUUCGGCUGUCACUUAUGGAGGGACCCGCGUCGCAUUAGCUAGUUGGUGAGGUAACGGCUCACCAAGGCAACGAUGCGUAGCCGACCUGAGAGGGUGAUCGGCCACACUGGGACUGAGACACGGCCCAGACUCCUACGGGAGGCAGCAGUAGGGAAUCUUCCGCAAUGGACGAAAGUCUGACGGAGCAACGCCGCGUGAGUGAUGAAGGCUUUCGGGUCGUAAAACUCUGUUGUUAGGGAAGAACAAGUGCUAGUUGAAUAAGCUGGCACCUUGACGGUACCUAACCAGAAAGCCACGGCUAACUACGUGCCAGCAGCCGCAGUAA